CUGCAAGAAGCUGACCGCGCCCCUCUCCACGAGCAGAGCGUCCCCCUGAGGAUUUAAGGGGCGCCAACGACCUUGUCACUCCCCAAUCCGCUUUGAUUUCGGGGUCCUGGGGGGUCGCCAAAAGCACGCGGCCAGCUGAGUGCCUCAAAGAUGAGGAAACUAAGGCACAGUACCCAAAAGGAGGACAACAAAACAAAACUGAUCUACCAACUCAACUAAGGGACUUCCUUAGCAUCCAGUCAGGAUGUGUACCCUCAGAAACCCAAAGCUCCCACUCCAGCCCCAGCGUAAUUCCCCUCAAUCAGCAUA